GAGUAUACAUUUUUUUACCCUUUAUAUAAACAAGCCUUAAAGAGGGACAGGAUGUGAGCACACCCAUCCUCUGGAAACAAAGUGGAUAAAAAAGAGGCAGAAAAGAGGAACAAUGGACUGUGGUUGAUGGGAAGCAUCUUCACCACUUCCCUCCAGCAAGAACAGCACAGAAGAAUCACUACAGAGCCAGUGUCUGCACAUCUCUCUCACUUCUGCCCCACUCCUCAAGGGGAGCUUUCGACUUCUUCCUCAAAAGGUGAAACUUCCAUGUGUCUGGAGCCAAGCGACUGCAGAACUUCUGAGGAUGAAACACGUGAUGUCUGCGCUACUUGCACAGCUGACAGCAGCAGGGCCUGCUCACCCCCUGACUCCAGACAGAGGGAAAAUGUGUGCUAAGCCCUUCUAUGCAUUAGAAGAUCCAUACAAAAGACUCCUAAAAACUUAAAGACAGAGACAAUUAAGGCCUUUUCUUUUUCUCAUGAUUCUCAUUAUUGGAUUCUCACAAAUUUGGAUCACACUUUACCAUGCCUUCAAAGGAAUUCUUGUUAAAGCAAACAGCAGAACUCAGCAUCUUGCAGGUUUUAUUCCCAAGAGAAAAAGCUCAUUGCAAAAUGGAGCAGACAGACACAUCCCUUGGCUCCCUGACUCUCCCUAAAACAGUCUGGAACCAUAAAGCUUCCAGAAUCAGAUUUUCAUAAGUUGAAGCCUAAGGUUGUAGAGGAUCUUCUCAUGCACAGUUACAAUUGCAUAUGUAUAGCUGGCUUUUGUACAUACAAAUGGAGACUGUAUGCCAGUGCAUGUCUCAAAGGAAUCUAGACAGAUAUACAAAAACACACGAGUCUCAGUUUUUAUUUUAUGAGGUGAAUUAAGUGAAGGGGGAAGAAAAAGGUGAUGGGAAAAAGAUGAAAUUCAGACCUCAUCAAAGUCAAGGGUACUUUUCCUAUAGACUUCAAAAGAUUCAAAACUUCAUCUGUAACAUUUAUGUCCUACUGAACCCAGAGAUAUGCUCAGAAACAGGUUUCAACCUCAAUUCAUUUGGCAGCCCAGCUUCUUCCUGGUUGAAUGGUGGAAGCACUGACAAGAAUCUCAAAAGAAAAUUUUACUGUGAUCUAAAUCAGUAGUUCCCAAUUUUUUCUGGCUGUCUGGGCAAAUACCUCCUUUUAAGAGUCAGUGAGAGCCUUGUACCCCAGCAUUUACAACUCAUAGCCCAGCUAGAGUGUUCAUGGAGCUCUCCAUUGGGCUAGCAUGCAAACUAGUACCAUGUUUCCCAGAGACCAUAAAUUUGUUGUGUAAUUCAUUUCCAAGCUGCUCCUGCAGCUACUCCUGGGAGUAGGUUACAAGCUGGACAAAUAGAAUUUGCAGGAUAUAUUUAGCUUAUACCUUGCAGAAUUGGUGUUUUUCCUUCAAGUCCACAUUGUUUACACUGACCUGACUAAGGACCAUUACCUGUCUUUCAACAGUAGCUUGCAUCUUUCUUUUGAGAAGAAGGAUGGGGGGAAAUGUGGGAAAAGUUCCCCUCCUGUUCUCAAUUUUAACCUUGGUCUGUGCAAGUCCAACAUUGCUGACACUGCUGGACUUACAAGCUGAGCAAAUCCUGGCCACACUAAGCUUGAUGGCAAAACUCCCUUUGUCUUUAUUAGACUCUAGAUUUCACAACAAGUGUUAAAGGAAUGUGACUGCAAGACUGAGGCAAAGGCAAAGUAAAAGCAAGGACGGUUUCCUCACUGCAAGCCAGAGAAAAUGCAUGGGUCUCCAGGGCAAUAAGCCAAGCAAUAAAAAUAUAAGUAAACAUAUGAAUAAAUUAAAUCGAUGCCCUCUUCAGAUAGU